CCUACGGGAGGCAGCAGUGGGGAAUUUUGGACAAUGGGCGAAAGCCUGAUCCAGCAAUGCCGCGUGAGUGAAGAAGGCCUUCGGGUUGUAAAGCUCUUUUGUCAGGGAAGAAACGGUGGGAGCUAAUAUCUCUUGCUAAUGACGGUACCUGAAGAAUAAGCACCGGCUAACUACGUGCCAGCAGCCGCGGUAAUACGUAGGGUGCAAGCGUUAAUCGGAAUUACUGGGCGUAAAGCGUGCGCAGGCGGUUUUGUAAGUCUGAUGUGAAAUCCCCGGGCUCAACCUGGGAAUUGCAUUGGAGACUGCAAGGCUAGAAUCUGGCAGAGGGGGGUUAGAAUUCCACGUGUAGCAGUGAAAUGCGUAGAUAUGUGGAGGAACACCGAUGGCGAAGGCAGCCCCCUGGGUCAAGAUUGACGCCCAUGCACGAAAGCGUGGGGAGCAAACAGGAUUAGAUACCCUGGUAGUCCACGCCCUAAACGAUGUCUACUAGUUGUCGGUCUUAUGACUUGUACGCNGCGUACGCGNGAGUAGACCGCCGNGGGUGGUCGGUCGCGAGUAGUUAAACUUAACAAGUUAGAGUUGCGGCGNGACGNGCGACGGACGACGACGAGGGAGGAGG
rnacentral:rRNA from 1 species